AAGGAGAGCCCGCUGGCCAAGUCUGGGAUAAUUUUGAGCUAAAAAUAAAUCAGGACAGUAAAGGAUUACAACUUAUUGAAUAAAACAUUAAUCAUCAGGCCAGGCGCGGUGACUCACACCUGUAAUCCCAGCACUUUGGGAGGCCGAGGCGGGUGGAUCACGAGGUCAGGAGUUCAAGACUAACCUGACCAGCACCGUGAAAUCCCAUCUCUGCUAAAAAAAAUACAAAAAAAUUAGCCGGGCGUGGUGACACAUGCCUGUAAUCCCAGCUACUUCGGAGGCUGAGGCAGAAGAAUCGCUUGAACCCAGGAGGCAGAGGUUGCACUGAGCCGAGAACGCGCCACUGCACUCCAGCCUGGCAACAGAGCGAGACUCCGUCUCAAAAAAAAAAAAAAAAAAUUAAUCAUCAAUUCAGGCAGCUGAUAAGUAGUUUGGCAGGGGACCAAAAACCUGAAUUAAGUCACGAGGAAACACCAGGCAAGCCCAACUGAAGAACAUUCUAUAAAACAACCGAUUUGUGUUCUUUAAAUAUAUCAAUGUCAUGAAAGAGAAAGAAAUUCUGAAGAACCAUUCCAGAUUAAAGAAGAUUAGAGAAACAUGACCCCUUCAGGCAUAUAUGUGAUCCUUGGUUGAAACUUGGACUGGGGGGAUGCUGUAAAGAACUUUAUUGGUAUAAUUGACAAAAUUGGAAUAUGGAUUAUAGAGUAGGUGAAAGUACGUAUCAAGGUUAAAUUUUCUGAUUUGAUAAUUGUAUUUGGAUUAUGUAAGAAACUAUAUUUGUUCUUAGGAACUACACAUUGAAGUAUUAAGAGUAUAAUAAAGGCAUGAUCUUUAUAACCUCAAAUGGUUUGGAAAAAAUAAAUACAGAGGGAGGGAAGAAGAGAGAAUAAUUAAACAAAUGUGGCAAAAUGUAAAAAAGUUGGUUAAUCUGGACUGGGCGCGGUGGCUCAUGCCUGUAAUCCCAGCACUUUAGGAGGUCAAUGCAGGUAGAUCACGAGGUCAGGAGAUUGAGACCAUCCUGGCUAACAUGGUGAAACCCCGUCUCUACUAAAAAUACAAAAACAAAGUUAGCCAGGCGUGGUGGCGAGCACCUGUAGUCCCAGCUAUUCGGGAGGCUGAGGUGAGAGAGUGGUGUGAACCCUUGAGGCAGAGCUUGCAGUGAGCGGAGAUUGUGCCACUGCACUCCAGCCUGGGCGACAGAGCGAGACUCCAUCUCAAAAAAAAAAAAAAAAA
rnacentral:lncRNA from 1 species